UACGUAGGGCGCGAGCGUUGUCCGGAAUCAUUGGGCGUAAAGCGCGCGUAGGCGGCCCGAUAAGUCCGCUGUAAAAGUCAACGGCUCAACUGUUGAAAGCCGGUGGAUACUGUCGGGCUAGAGUACGGAAGAGGCAAGUGGAAUUCCUGGUGUAGCGGUGGAAUGCGCAGAUAUCAGGAGGAACACCCAUAGCGAAGGCAGCUUGCUGGGACGUUACUGACGCUAAGGCGCGAAAGCGUGGGGAGCGAACAGG
rnacentral:rRNA from 1 species